rnacentral:rRNA from 1 species
AGCUCCAAUAGCGUAUAUUUAAGUUGUUGCAGUUAAAAAGCUCGUAGUUGGAUCUUGGGUCGUCACGGUUGGUCUGCCUACUCGGUGUGCACUGGCCCUCACGUCCCUUCUGCCGGCGGCGUGCUCCUGGCCUUAAUUGUCUGGGUCGCGGUUCCGGCGCCGUUACUUUGAAAAAAUUAGAGUGCUCAAAGCAAGCCUACGCUCUGAAUACAUUAGCAUGGAAUAACGUGAUAGGAGUCUGGUCCUGUUCCGUUGGCCUUCGGGACCGGAGUAAUGAUUAAUAGGGACUGUCGGGGGCAUUCGUAUUUCAUUGUCAGAGGUGAAAUUCUUGGAUUUACGGAAGACGAACCACUGCGAAAGCAUUUGCCAAGGAUGUUUUCAUCA